AACCCGGCGAACUGAAACAUCUCAGUAACCGGAGGAAAAGACAUCAACCGAGAUUCCGUUAGUAGUGGCGAGCGAACGCGGACCAGGCCAGUGCCUUCAUUUCAACUAGCAGAACACUUUGGAAAGAGUGGCCGUAGCGGGUGACAGCCCCGUAUGUGAAAGUGAUGAUGAAGGACUUGAGUAGGGCGGGACACGUGAAAUCCUGUCUGAACAUGGGGGGACCACCCUCCAAGCCUAAAUACUCGUACAUGACCGAUAGCGAACACAGUACCGUGAGGGAAAGGUGAAAAGCACCCCGAUUAGGGGAGUGAAACAGUACCUGAAACCGAAUGCUUACAAU
rnacentral:rRNA from 14 species